UACGUAGGGGCCUAGCGUUGUCCGGAUUUAUUGGGCGUAAAGAGCUCGUAGGCGGUUUGGCUAGUCAGGUGUGAAAUCUCCACGCUCAACGUGGAGGAGCCACCUGAUACUGCCAUGACUUGAGUCCGGUAGGGGAGUGUGGAAUUCCCGGUGUAGCGGUGAAAUGCGCAGAUAUCGGGAGGAACACCCGUAGCGAAGGCGGCACUCUGGGCCGUGACCGACGCUGAGGAGCGAAAGCGUGGGGAGCAAACAGG
rnacentral:rRNA from 1 species